GCGUCCUUAGUUUAGUGGCAAAAUAAGGGUGUCCGAAGCCCAAGACCAGGGUUCGAUUCCCUGAGGACGUG
rnacentral:tRNA from 1 species